UCUUACCUAAUCUAUAGUGGAUGAGUCCUCUGUUGUAAAAAGGUAUUUCAAACUGACUGUCAGCAUGUAUUGCUUCUCAGAGGGCUGUGAGUCCCAUUUGUCUUCUUCCAUCAAAACACCUCUCUGACCACCAUGAAAGGCUCUGAAAUAGCAAACAAACACAAAACAGCUGCCUGGUUAAAGGAAGGAGGGAGACGUUCCAAACCAGACUAGAGGAAACUAAGCCAACUCCUUCCAGAGGUCACAUGAUGAGCCCUUGCUUGUGCUGUCGAGGCAACACCGAAGGUGUGACAAAGGGAACAUGUUUUCUUGUCCACAUUCAAGACAUAACCAUUCCGGCACUUGCAGUGAUAGGAGAUGUUGCUGCUGACACAAAUGUGUUCACAGUCAUGUCCCUUGGCACAGUGGUCCAGACCUAGAAGAACAUGAGAUUAAAGGACAGUAGUGUGAAGAUGGCGCCAUGGGAGCAAUUUCAUACUGUAGGUGGUUGGCUUGUGAUAGGGUCCUCCUGAACUUAGCGGUGAGAUUCUCAAUAUCGCUGAAGGUCUCCACAUAAAAGACGUGAUCCUCCAGAGGGAUGCUGGCCA